AACGAACGCUGGCGGCGCGUUUUAAACAUGCAAGUCGAACGAGAACCCCGAUGCUUGCGUUGGGGGGAAAGUGGCGGACGGGUGAGUAACACGUGAAUAAUCUACCUUCUAGUUGAGGACAACCACCCGAAAGGGUGGCUAAUACUGAAUAAUAUGGUAACUGCAUAAGCAUCAACCAUUAAAGGUGGGGACCUUCGGGCCUACCGCCUGACGAUGAAUUCGCGGUCCAUUAUCUUGUUGGUGGGGUAAUGGCCUACCAAGGCUACCAUGGAUAGCCAGCCUGAGAGGGUGAACGGACACAUUGGGAUUGAUAUAACGCCCAGACUCCUACAGGAGGCAUCAAUUAAGAAUCUUGCACAGUGGCCGAAAGCCUGACGCAACGACGCCGCGUGUACGAUGAAGGUCUUCGUGAUUGUAAAGUCCAAUAAGUAUGGAAGAAUAAGCAAAGGGUAAUAUUCUUUGUGAUGACGGUACCUGCCUAAAGCCCCGGCUAACUACGUGCCAGCAGCCGCGGUAAUACUUAUGGGGCGAGCGUUGUUCGGAAUUAUUGGGCGUAUAGGGCGUGUAGGCUGGAGAUUAAGUUACUUGUGAAAUCCAUGGGCUCAACCCAUGAAGUGCAUCUAAUACUGAUCUUCUUGAGUUCGGGAGAGGAGAGCGGAAUUCCCGGUGUAGCGGUGAAAUGCGUAGAUAUCGGGAAGAACACCAGUGGCGAAGGCGGCUCUCUGGCUUAGAUCUGACGCUGAGCCGCGAAAGCGUGGGGAGCGAACGGGAUUAGAUACCCCGGUAGUCCACGCUGUAAUCGUUGUAUAUUAGGUGUUAGUAGGUUACGUGCUAGUGCCGAAGCAAACGCAUUAAGUAUACCGCCUGGUGAGUACGUCCGCAAGGGUGAAACUCAAAGAAAUUGUCGGGGGCCCGCACAAGCGGUGGAGCAUGUGGUUUAAUUUGAUGAUACGUGAAGAACUUUACGUGGGCCUGAACCGUACUUGACAGGUGUUGAGAUACACCCUCCUUCGGGCAGGUAUUGAGGUGGUGCAUGGUUGUCGUCAGCUUGUGUCUUGAGAUGUUGGGUUAAGUCCCGCAACGAGCGCAACCCCUACCCCGUUGUUGCUACCAGGUUAUGCUGGGCACUCUAGGGGAACUGCCGGUGGUAAACCGGAGGAAGGUGGGGAGGACGUCAAAUCAGCACGGCCUUUAUGUCCAGGGCUACUCACGUGCUACAAUGGCCGGUACAGAGAGUCGCAAUACCGCGAGGUGGAGCCAAUCUCAAAAAACCGGCUUCAGUUGGGAUUGCAGUGUGCAACUGUAUUGCAUGAAGUUGGAAUCGGUAGUAAUCGCGAAUCAUAACGUCUCGGUGAAUAUGUUCCCGGGCCUUGUACACACCGCCCGUCCCCCCACCCGAGUUGCCAGCACAGGAAGUGGCUGAUCUAACCCGCAAGGGAGGAAGGUUACCAUUGUGAAGCUGGUAAGGGGGGUG
rnacentral:rRNA from 1 species